rnacentral:rRNA from 1 species
UACAGAGGGGGCAAGCGUUGUUCGGAAUUACUGGGCGUAAAGCGUGCGCAGGCGGUCUUUUAAGUCAGAUGUGAAAUCCCCGGGCUUAACCUGGGAACUGCGUUUGAAACUGGAAGGCUUGAGUGUGGCAGAGGGGGGUGGAAUUCCACGUGUAGCAGUGAAAUGCGUAGAGGUGUGGAGGAACACCGAUGGCGAAGGCAGCCCCCUGGGCUAACACUGACGCUCAUGCACGAAAGCGUGGGGAGCAAACAGG